GGAUACUCUCUGUGGGAAAAAAUCCUCAACAGAAAAUUAUUGAGGGAAGUAAGCAUAUCUCUUCCUUGUUGCAACCAAUAGUCUGGUUGAUGAAUUUUUCUACAGAGAUAUGGAAGAUAUAUACCUAUUCCAGGAGGGUGGUGUGGUGUGCAAUUGUUUGGUCUAUUUGGUGCCAUCACAGGGUGAUCUUUGAAGCCCAUUUAUGAUGGUUAUGGAUUGGUGGGUGCAGGGAAUGUAUUUAUGAUGGUUACGGAUUGGUGGGUGUAGGGAAUGUAUUUAUUGAUGAGAGAAAUUGUCGUGUGAAGGGAACAUAAUAACAUCCUUUAAUGCUUAGUGGUGGAUGUUUGUAAUGUAAGCCUUUUUUAUGGCAAGGUACCUCUGGUAAGGUACCAUUUUUGCCCGAAAAAAAGAGGGAAAAG
rnacentral:lncRNA from 1 species